UGGGGAAUAUUGCACAAUGGGGGGAACCCUGAUGCAGCCAUGCCGCGUGAAUGAAGAAGGCCUUCGGGUUGUAAAGUUCUUUCGGUGACGAGGAAGGUUGGUAGGUUAAUAGCCUAUCAAAUUGACGUUAAUCACAGAAGAAGCACCGGCUAACUCCGUGCCAGCAGCCGCGGUAAUACGGGGGGUGCGAGCGUUAAUCGGAAUAACUGGGCGUAAAGGGCACGCAGGCGGUGACUUAAGUGAGAUGUGAAAGCCCCGAGCUUAACUUGGGAAUUGCAUUUCAUACUGGGUCGCUAGAGUACUUUAGGGAGGGGUAGAAUUCCGCGUGUAGCGGUGAAAUGCGUAGAGAUGUGGAGGAAUACCGAAGGCGAAGGCAGCCCCUUGGGAAUGUACUGACGCUCAUGUGCGAAAGCGUGGGGAGCAAACAGGAUUAGAUACCCUGGUAGUCCACGCUGUAAACGAUGUCGAUUUGGGGAUUGGGCUUUGAGCUUGGUGCCCGUAGCUAACGUGAUAAAUCGACCGCCUGGGGAGUACGGCCGCAAGGUUA
rnacentral:rRNA from 1 species